AGCGAACGCUGGCGGCGUGCUUAACACAUGCAAGUCGAGUGCGUAGUUUUUUGUAGCAAUACAGAAAACAGGCGCACGGCGCACGGGUGCGUAACACGUGGGCAAUCUGCCCUCUGAUGGGGAAUAACCCGCCGAAAGGCGGGCUAACACCGCAUAAAAUCUUUUGGCCUUCGGGCUGGGAGAUCAAAACCGCAAGGUGUCAGAGGAGGAGCCCGCGCCCGAUUAGCUAGUUGGCGGGGUAACGGCCCACCAAGGCUAUGAUCGGUAGCCGGUCUGAGAGGGCGAUCGGCCACACUGGAACUGCGACACGGUCCAGACUCCUACGGGAGGCAGCAGUGAGGAAUCUUGCGCAAUGGGCGAAAGCCUGACGCAGCGACGCCGCGUGGAGGAUGAAGGUCUUCGGAUUGUAAACUCCUGUCGAGCGGGACGAAUGCCGUGAGGGUGAACAAUCCUCGCGGUUGACGGUACCGCU
rnacentral:rRNA from 1 species